CCCCAAGUCAUGAAAUAACUCUCACAAGGUUUUAUUGGAACCCCAUGGCUGUAAUUAAAAGGACACUGUAGUCACCAAAACAAUAUAACUUAAUGAAGCUGUUUUUGUGUAUAGAUUAUACCCCUGCAGUCUCACUGCUCAAUUCUCUGCCAUAUGGGAGUUAAAUCACUCUUGUUUCUCUUUAUGCAGCACUAGCAACACCUUCCUUGGCUGUGACUGACACAGCCUGCAUGAUUAUGAUUUUUCUCACCUUGAUGGCUUGACAAAAAUCAACUUCAAUUGAGUGCACAUUCAUAGUUAGAUGGUUAAAAAGCUCAAACCGAAGCUUGCCAUGCAUAGGUGAAUCACAGAUUAACUCUCAUCAACAGAACAGUAUCCCCAAUUGGAUAACAAAACAUGCCACCACUAUAUAAGCAAAAAGUACCUCCCCCCCCAAAAAAUAAAAUAAAAUAAAAAAAUAAGACCAUUAAUGUAUAUAAAGAAAAAUAUUAUUAAAGUCAGUGGUAUCACUAAUUACAAAUUACAUGACUUCAAUAUAUAUUGAUCGUGGUUUUAGCACAGAGCCACAUCCACAGAGCCACAAGCUAUAGGCUGAGUUUACUAUCUUAGUCUACAUAGUAAUCCACAAGUCAAGUAAGACUGAGGAAGAGAACUAUUGUCCAGAAGGAAAAUUGAUCUAAAUACAAAGCCAAAUUUAUACUGGAUUAUAAUCAAGAAACAGAAUGUCUCAAAAAGAUCCAGUGGAAACCAGACCUUAAUCUAACUUAACAGUCCUUGAGCCCCUUCAAAAUAUUGGUUACAUUGUGUCAUAGAAAUAGCAAAAAUCCCAAUAAAGUUAUUUUUAAUGCUACAAUGUGACAUGUUCAGGAAGAGUAAGUCGUUAUGCUGUGUAACGGAUCCCCUAUACUCCGACUGAGUAUAGCCGUUGUGAAUCUCCCAUUUCCCAAGCGAAGCAGUGAUUACAGUUCUUGGCUGCCCAAACAUUAGCCGAGACUUGAUGAAGGGUACAACAGAAUCUGUUUAUUGAAGGCCAGAUACACAGUAUUUAUGCAGGGGGUCUCCAUCCACAGUAAGGUAUAACAUAAUCUGCCCCGGCAACGCUAUGUCCUGGAGAUAAGGGUAUCUCCCAGACCCAGGAAGCUGACACACAAAAACCCACAAAAUAUGCAUAAUGCAAUAAUGCACCCCCACUUGCCUUAUAUCACUGAACAGCUCCUGGUCCCAGCUAUGAUCCCUGCAACUUUCAGGGCGAUCGGAUGUACAGAGUCCCAUAAAUCGUUGAACAAAGUCUGUGCUUGAGACUCUGUCCCAAAAAUGGUUCCAUAAGAUCCCUUGGUUUAGGCCGGUGAAUUAAACUUUCGUGCCUACCAAGCAGCGGCCAAUCCAGAAAAAGGGUGCAAACACGUAGCGGCUGAUCAGUGCUGAGGGAGGGGAGGUGUUUUGCCAGCCAAUCGGGAGAAAGGGCGCAAAACCAAUUUGAAUGGGGUUGAAAAACAGGGAGCUGGGACACAGGGGUGAACUGAUGGUGGAAACGAGCAGUAUAUAGUCUUUUGGGGGAACAUGGGAUGUUACCUGGGUGACACAGUUUAUUACACGGCUACAUAGGGGACACAGUUUGUGACAUGCUAGUUAUUGUAUCUUUGUUUCCUGUCAUCUUAUUCUUAAGACUCUUCUAUAACCUCCAUAUUUUAACACACAUCAUUUCAUACUGUUCAGUUUAGCAGAAUCUUCCGUUCCAAGCCCACAAAAAAUAAUUCAAGCACUGGAUUAUAUAUUUUCUCAGUUUGCUUGUUACUUUUUAACAGAAACUUUUACAGGCAAACGGCAGAAGAAGACUGUUUUGUGGUGCUGAACUCACUGCUGAGUGAGCGAGUUGCCAAUCUCGUGUUUCCGGGGUGAGAUGUUAAAGGCUAGAUUUGACAGCUUAGAUUCCUUUUUAUCUUUGGGAAAAAAAAUAGAGGAAGUUCCACAAAAAGCAAACUUAAUAACCAUACAGGGAGUGCAGAAUUAUUAGGCAAAUGAGUAUUUUGACCACAUCAUCCUCUUUAUGCAUGUUGUCUUACUCCAAGCUGUAUAGGCUCGAAAGCCUACUACCAAUUAAGCAUAUUAGGUGAUGUGCAUCUCUGUAAUGAGAAGGGGUGUAGUCUAAUGACAUCAACACCCUAUAUCAGGUGUGCAUAAUUAUUAGGCAACCUCCUUUCCUUUGGCAAAAUGGGUCAAAAGAAGGACUUGACAGGCUCAG
rnacentral:lncRNA from 1 species